UAGAAGCAUUCUCCUUUUCACUUGUAUUGAUAAACAGUAUGUUGGCCUAAAAAAAUAUUUCACUGUGGUUUGACCAGAGAUAUAUAUUAUGAAGUCUGACAUUUUAACACAUUUCAAAUAGGAUUAAGGUCAUUUAUAGAUUAUGUUUUUUGCAGUUAACUGUUCAUUGUUUAUCAGCUUUAUACCAAGUAAUCUUUGUGUUAGCAUUAUUUUUUCAUCUGAAUUUCUUGAGAACUCCUAUUAUAUUCUAAAAUCAAUUAUUUCCUGAGUGCUCAUUGUGUAUAAGUAAUUAUGCUAGGUACCAAUAUUCUUAAUUAAGGACAUUUGUUUUUAAGUUUAGUGACUUCAAAAAAAAUAUUUUAAUAGGCAGCUCCAUUUUAUUUUAUUAGCCUUUAUUAGAUGUGGCGGUUUCUUUGUGUAAAUCUGUGAGUGGAUUUAAGAACAAGGAAUCAUUAGUUUAAAAUUCCCAAAUGUGAUAAUUCAGUUUAGAGAAGAUGAUAACCUACAAAACAAAUAAAUAAAAAGAGAAGAAAAAAGGGGAAGAUGUCGGGCAGAUUUUCUGCAAGUGGACGCUGUAAUAAAAAUGCCCCCUACUUUGUCGGGAUGGUAUUUGGAGGGCUGCUGCCAUAUGUUACUUUCCUUUUUAGCUGGGAUUAUGCCAUCAUUAUUGCUGAUAAAAGCUGUUUACUGCCUUGGCAAAGGAAUGAUGCUUGGAGCAGUUAUGGAAACCGCCAUUCAGUUUACAAAAAAGUUCAUUUAGUGCCAGAUGCUAGAAUCCUAGGUCUUUGUUAUCUUUUGCCAUUAUUAGAUCCAUCCAUUGUGUGUUUUUUUCCCCCUUUUAUAAUAGAAUGUUGUUUCUUACUACCUGUUUUAAUUCAAGCUGUUGAAGUGAGAGGUUUUCUAGAUUAUUACAUUCCCCAUGUUAUAAGUGAUCAGUGCUAAAGAUGGGCAAUUUGGCUUUCAGAAUCAUUGACUAUAUUUGGAAUAAGCACUGCAGUGUGCAAUGAGAUUCCAGUUUCUACACAUCAAGGAGAGUACUGUCGAGUCAGUGUGUGUAUGGCAUGUGACUUAUUGGCCCACGUAGAGGUCACACCCUUGACUUUGGUCUUGUUGGUAUUGUGCUUCACCAUCUUUUUCCACACCUCAGAAUAUAAAUUAUGCUCCUGACUUGAAUUUAGAACUUAUAACUAUCACCAAGAUGAAAAGGUCCAAAAUAGUGUAAAAAUCACAUUUUUGGUACAGUCAUUUUACACGAAUAAGGUCAGCCAUCUGCUAGAAAACUACACUUAUUUAGAAUACACUGAAAGUACUCAGCACUGAAUGCCACAAAGAAGCCCUGAAAAUGCAAACUUUCUGUGUGGCUUUGGAUGGGAAAAGAAAGGAAAAAUCAUCUUCAAAUGUAUCCAAGAAUAAAGUUUAAUAAAAAAUUUCAGUGUCAUAUUGAAGUUGAAAAUUUAUAAUCACCUGGGUAAAAAGUAUCCCCAUUAAAAGUUGAGAUCAUUUGCCCCAACUGGGUGGUUCAGUUGGUUGGAGCAUCGUCCCAUACACCAAAAUAGUUGUGGAUUUGAU